CCUACGGGUGGCAGCAGUGAGGAAUAUUGGUCAAUGGUCGGGAGACUGAACCAGCCAAGUAGCGUGAAGGAGGACGGUACUAAGGGUUGUAAACUUCUUUUAUCAGGGAAUAAAGUGAGGCACGUGUGCCUGGUUGUAUGUACUUGAUGAAUAAGGAUCGGCUAACUCCGUGCCAGCAGCCGCGGUAAUACGGAGGAUCCGAGCGUUAUCCGGAUUUAGUGGGUUUAAAGGGCGCGGAGGCGGGUUGUUAAGUCAGGUGUGAAAGCCCGGGGCUCAACCCUCGAAGUGCAGUUGAUACUGGCAGUCGUGAGUUGGGUAGAGGUAGGCGGAAUGCGUGGUGUAGCGGUGAAAUGCGUAGAUAUCGCGAAGAACUCCGAUUGCGAAGGCAGCAUACCGAACCCACACUGACGCUGAUGCGCGAAAGUGUGGGUAUCAAACAGGAUUAGAUACCCGAGUAGUC
rnacentral:rRNA from 1 species